GUAACGCGUAUGUAACCUGCCCAUCGAUGGGGGAUAGCCCAGCGAAAGCUGGAUUAAUACCGCAUGAAACCGUUUGAAGACAUCUGAUAAUGGUUAAGAUUAUUGCUCAUGGAUGGACAUGCGUCCGAUUAGCUAGUUGGCGGGGCAACGGCCCACCAAGGCGACGAUCGGUAGGGGUUCUGAGAGGAAGGUCCCCCACAUUGGUACUGAGACACGGACCAAACUCCUACGGGAGGCAGCAGUGAGGAAUAUUGGUCAAUGGGCGGAAGCCUGAACCAGCCAAGUCGCGUUGCAGGAUGACGGCCCUAUGGGUUGUAAACUGCUUUUAUGCGGGGAUAAAGUGAGGGACGUGUCCCUUUUUGUAGGUACCGCAUGAAUAAGGACCGGCUAAUUCCGUGCCAGCCGCUGC
rnacentral:rRNA from 1 species